GGACGCCUCGUCAUCUUUCGUUAACCCAAAACCCACCGCCUCUGCAUACGGUUUUGGUGGAACUGGACCAUUCCUUCACAACUUCUCUCUCGCAAACCUCAUGAACCCAACCGGAAAGUUGCCAAUUUCCCAUCAAGAAAAGUCAUCUGCGGGGACUACUCAUUUGACUGCAAAGAUUACGAACACCGAUUUGCGACUAUGACUGCGGCGCAACUCACUGGUGGUUCACUCUCUAGUGAACUGAUAAGUACGAGUAGCGAAUGGAACACUGUCAACCGGGUGACAAGGUCAGACCGUUCGGGACAGCCGAGGGGAUGUUGUAACUUUGUUGCAUUAGUUGGUAGGAACAGAUUGAGCCAUGGUUCUGUUUUUCGGCACAUAUCCUCGAGAUUGUCUUGUCAAAGAAGGAGCAAUUUUGCUGUGGUGAAAAAUCAAUUGAGUUCAGAUUAUGGGGUGGAGUCUUCUUCUUAUGUGGAUGAGAGUUCUACGAUGGACGAACACCACCUAACGAGUUCAAUGGAAAGAUCUUUGGAGCUCACGGAGGGUGUGAAACCACAUGUUCAGAGUGUGAAACGCGAGCUUCUAAUGCUUUCUUUGCCAGCGAUUGCCGGACAGGCUAUUGAGCCAUUGACACAAUUGAUGGAGACAGCAUAUAUUGGUAGAUUGGGCUCUGUGGAGUUGGCGUCAGCUGGUGUUUCCAUGUCAAUCUUUAACAUUAUUUCGAAGCUAUUUAAUAUUCCUCUCCUCAGUGUUGCUACAUCUUUCGUGGCUGAAGAUAUUUCAAAAAGUGCCAGCAGAAUUUCCACUUCAGAUGAUGGUCGUCAGCAUGAAAGUGGCAAUGGUAAACCUUUUGAUGGGAUAGAUACCCGGCACCAACUAUCCUCCGUGUCUACGGCACUAUUUUUAGCUGUUGUCAUUGGUAUCAUUGAGGCUUUGGCCUUGUAUUUGGGAUCUGGAUUUUUUCUGACCUUGAUGGGAAUACCACCGGAUUCCUCCAUGCGUUCUCCAGCAAAGCGAUUUCUUUCUCUCAGAGCGCUUGGUGCUCCUGCGGUUGUAGUUUCCCUAGCUCUUCAAGGCGUGUUCCGUGGUUUUAAGGAUACAAAAACACCUGUGUUAUGUCUAGGUGUUGGUAAUUUUUGUGCUAUAUUUCUGUUUCCCAUACUCAUGUAUUAUUUUCGGUUCGGUGUGAUUGGAGCAGCGAUUUCCACUGUUAUCUCUCAAUACAUUGUUACCGUCUCAAUGAUUUGGCAUUUGAGUAAGAGAGCUGUAUUAUUGCCUCCAAAGUUGAAAAAUCUGCAAUUUGGGGGUUAUAUAAAAUCUGGUGGUUUUCUUCUCGGUAGAACUCUUGCUGUUCUUGUAACAUUGACACUAGGGACUUCAAUGGCUGCCCGUCAAGGUCCAGUAGCUAUGGCUGCUCACCAAAUAUGCUUACAAGUAUGGUUGGCUGUAUCUCUCCUCACAGAUGCACUGGCUGCAUCUAGUCAGACUUUGAUUGCAAGUUCUUUAUCAAAAGGCGAUUACAGAACUUUGAGGGAGGUUACAAACUUUGUGUUAAAGAUAGGGUGGCUCACAGGAGUUUCCUUGGCUGCUAUUUUGGGUGUAUCUUUCGGUUCUUUGGCCACCUUGUUUACCAAGGAUGCUGAAGUAUUAGCAGUUGUUAGAACUGGGGUGUUGUUUGUCAGUGCCAGUCAACCUGUUAAUGCUCUAGCUUUUAUUUUUGAUGGUCUCCAUUAUGGUGUUUCAGACUUCCCGUAUGCUGCUUGUUCCAUGAUGAUGGUGGGGGCAAUAUCUUCUGCUUACCUUCUAUACAUUCCUUCCGUUUUUGGUCUCCCCGGUGUGUGGUCCGGCUUGACUCUUUUUAUGGCUUUACGUACGGCAGCAGGAUACAUCAGAUUAUCGUCAAAAAAUGGUCCGUGGUGGUUUCUGCAUGAGGAGUUAAAGAGACCUGAGCAUUUCGAUUGAGAUGGGGCGAAUCAGGUCUCUAUCGCUCAUCAUCAGCCACUCAGACUAUUACUGCGAGCCUUAGUUCCAGCCUAAAUGAACAUGUCCUUGAAGUUUUGAAUUUUUUUGCAGAGGUAAAUUCCCAAAAUAUGUUUACUUGUUCCCUGACCUUGUUCUGCGAUAGUAUUGAUGCUGGACAUCAUUGGACACAACUGCUACAAGUCUUUAUGUAAUAGUAACUAGAUGGUGGCACACACUACGGGUAAUUUAGGUAAGAAAAAAAGCUUCAAAAAAGGAAGACACCAACUGGUGAUCUUAUAGUAUAUAGUAGUAUAGAUUUUCUGGCCUAGACACAAGUGUUAAGUUACAUCUUUAGACAGUUGCUAUUUUUAAAUGAUGAUGUGUGAUAGCCGAGAUGAUUUCAUAUGGUUGUGUGCCAAACUUGCAGGAUUGAUGGUAUUUCAAAUGUUGGAUUACACAUAAAUUUUAGUAGGU